rnacentral:tRNA from 1 species
GCCGAUGUGGUGGAACUGGUAGACACGCUGUCUUGAGGGGGCAGUGGCGNAAGUCGUGCCGGUUCGAGUCCGGCCAUCGGCA